CAGAGGGAGAGCCGCCCGCUUGGUGCGUGCUGUGCGUCAGGGCCCAUCUCAAAAUGGCGGUGCACUCGAACCUGAGCGGCCCGUCGCUCCCUCAACUGUCGGAUACAAAUAAAACGGAGGGCGAGAGCUCCGCGCAGCAGCUGGAAAAUGAAAAUCGUGUCCAGAUGGACUUAUAUGAUGAUUUGAUUGGUGAUAUAAUAGGAGUACCUUUAAAAAAAGAGGUAGAACCAAAAAAGGACAAUUUGGAGUGCACAUCAAAUAAUAUACUCAUCCCAAUUAAAGCUGACCCGUCUAAAAGUUGUGAUCCGGAAUAUAUUGAUGCACCACUUCAUAAAAAACUUAUGUUGAUUGGAAAUCUGACGUGGUGGACUACCAGUGAUGACUUAUUAGCUGCCAUUCAUUCUGCUGGAAUAUCUAGUGUUGAUGAUAUGAAAUUUUACGAAGUUGCAAAAGGUGGUCAGUCCAAGGGGUUUGCUAGUGUGACAUUGUCUUUGAAAAGUGAUAUACAAAGAUUGUUAAAGAUUCUUCCAAAAAAAGAAGUUCAUGGAAGGAACCUGGAUGUCCGGCAUUUUACGAAAGCAAAUUACCAGUAUUUUGAAACCCAGUUCAUAAAUGCAAUGGAAAAAUCAAAGUUGCAUUCAGCACACUGUGAUAUUUUUGGUUGCAAUGGAAAUGACAACCAAUUUGUAUUUGAUCCUGUGGAAGAAGGAUAUCCAGACCCAAUUCCAUGGCAGAUCCAGCAGAAGUUUUCAACGUUUAUAAAUCUUCGUUCGUUGACAAAGGAUCCAGUAGUCCCGGACAAAACCUUUCCACCGUUCCCACAUCCACAAAUCAGACAAAUCACUUCAGUUGUUGAAACUAAACUCCAUCACGGCUCUACACCAUUUUCAAACAAUAUGUUAUUACAAAAUUUGACUUCUUUGGCUGUACCACCUGUGAGCAUAUCAGCUGCGAAUAUUCCAUCUCCAGUUGUUGGUGCAUUUCCCCAGUUUUUCUUCAAAUACUUAACUUCGUUGGGAAUACCACUUACAAACAUCCCAGCUCCACUUCUCAGUACAUUUCCAAGAUUUUUCUUACAAAGCUUACCUUCGUCGCCAGUAUCACCUGUGAACGUUCCAAUUCCGGUUCUUAGUGGACAUGGACUAAGUCAGAUAUCUCAAACUUCUUGUGUUAAUCCUGCGACAUUCAUAACACCAACAAUAAUGGGUCUUUCCACCUUGGACAAUAAUAAGACUCCACCUGUGUAUAAUACGUAUCAUAAGGAUUACAAGUUAUCAGGAAGGGAAACAGGUGUUCAAGAGACAUUGCAAAGCAUAGAGGAGCCUAUUAAAGAACUUGAUAGCAAAGGAACGUUUUCAACCAAUGAUGAUGGAAACAAUGAUUAUGGGAAUCUGCUGCAGCUUGUUUCUUUUGUUAAAAAGUCCAAAGCAAUUGCACCAGACAGCUUCAGGGAUUCAGUAAACUGUCCUCCAAAUCAACUUCAUGAGAGAGAGGCCAGCCCAAGCAGCUCAGGAUUACGGGAGCAUGAAUACACUGGACAAAGAAAAAAUCAAAGAUCUAGAGAGACAAGUGGAUAUCUGCGAGAUCGGUCCAGAAGUCCAGGUUCCUGUGAUAGUUAUCAAGAGAAAAGAAUGGAUUAUGAUCGCAAAAGACAACGGAGUUAUGAAAGAAGUUACUAUGGAAAUUCACCUUCAGUUCAUCAACAUUGGGACAGCUAUGGCUCUGAUCGGGACAGCCGAGGCCGUGAUCGGGACAACUAUGGCCGUGAUCGGGACAGCUAUGGCCGUGAUCGGGACAGCUAUGGCCGUGAUCGGGACAGCCGUGACCGUGAUCGGGACAGCCGUGACCGUGACCGUGAUCGGGACGGCCGUGGCCAUGAUCGGGACAGCCGUGGCCACAAAAAAGACAGGUUUGACCAUGACAGGGACAGCUCUGAUUGUGAAAGACAUUAUUUCUCCAAAAGGUGUCACUUUCGGGAUAGUGAUCCUCGGCAUGGUUACUAUGAAAAGAGUGAAAAAGGACACUAUUACAGUGACGGAACGUAUUGUAAAAUAAAUCAGAAAAGGGACAGAGAAUACCAAUUUUGAUGGUUUUAUGUCAUUCUUGCCAUAUUUUUAAGAGGCUGGUGACUUAUGUACAGAAUCUCAACCAACAAGGUUCUCACAAGUAAUCUAUCCAAGUUUACCACCUUCCCACGGACAACAAAAGUCAUUGGUCAGUACUUGCACCUAGACCUUUUAUGUUCCCCACCUUAUUGUCAUGUCACAUUUAUACUGUUUCCUUGCGUUUAUUUCAUUAAGAAAACUGAUAAUGUUAGGACUACAGUAUUUUUAGUAAUGUAAUUUUGUCUUGUCUUGCACAGAACACAAUUGCUUGAAAGUAGAUAUACGUUCAGGAUCCUGUAUUUCAAUGUCUUUGCUUGUAGAUUACCUUGAAAUUGAUAUUACCUUGAAAUUAUAUAAAAUAAACAACUACAUAAAGUUGCUUCAGAAAUGGAUGAAGUAAUUUGGCUUCAAAACCAGGAUUAAUAACAGAGGUUGAUGUAAGCUACAGCAUGUUGCAUCUAAUGUAUUUGUCCUACACCAGUUAUGUGUAUGCAAAGUUUAGAAAAGUGUUUAUAUAUUUCAAAAAUUAUGAAACUUCUCAGGUGUCAAAUAAAAGACAAUUUAACUUUUCAUGGCCACAUGAUUAGAAUUCUUUUCCAAUGCAUUCAAUGGCUAUAUUGAUUUUUGAUCUGUUGGCACUGGCAAUAGCAUUGGCACACAAAUAUUAAACACUGUAAGCACUGGAGAUCUGGAAUUAUGAGAGAAGAGGGAAAGAUGAAAAUGCUCAGUGGACCUCAGAAUACCCGAGGCAAUUAAAAAAAAAAAUAUAUAGUUUGUGACCUUGCGUUAGAAUUGGGAAAAAUUAGGAAUGGAGACUUUGGGCAAAUGAAAGGUAUUAAGAAUAACAAGAAAGGUCUGUGGCUGGAUGGAGGGAAGAAGAACUUAAAUGAAAAGAGGAUUUAAUGGUACCAAGACAAAGGAAAAGGUAAAGAAACAAAAAAAAAAGUUGUCUGGAGGGGCAUGAAUGGCCAGGAAAGGAAUAGGAGAAAAAUGAAAGAGAAAAAAAAACUCAAAGCAAAAUAGGGAAGGUGGAAGGAGAGCUUAUUAUAUAAAAUCAUUGACUACACCAUGUGUUCAGACAACAGCUAUCCCCCCUUUGGCUUGUAACGUGGAACCUUUUUCAUUUAUUCUUUUCAUGUUAGUGAUAGGAAGUCUGGACAGAUGACAGCCAAUAUGUAAUAUCUGGUACUCUUACUGUGGUUUGCCUACAUUGAGUCUUGUAUUUUUAGAGUAGAUGGAGCAAGCUGUUAAUGCUCCAGCAUUUGAGUUGCUUCAGGCUUGGUCAUGUAGAGGGCUACCAAUCUAGUCAUAUCCGUAUAGUUUUGUAAAUGGUAAAACUUCGGAAUAGAUCAGUCUCCUGUUGCUUAAUUGUACUAAGCCCCUGAGCAUGAAUUGAUUUCCUAAAGUCAGUAAAACUAAGAUACUAUAAUCCAAUACUUAAUGGAUAUAACCUUUAUGAAAUAUUGGAGAUGUUGAUUAAUCAUUCCAUUUUCCAAGCGUUUUAAUGAUUUCUUUUGUUCAGUUCACAACUUCUGUUCAGUUUCACAGGUUUGUAUACAAUAAGAUCUCCAUUACCCCUAUCCUUG